rnacentral:lncRNA from 1 species
UCCUUAGCCUCCAAAGAUCUUACAGACUUCCUUCUCUGUGGCAACCUCAUUUUGGGGACCAUUGUCCCAAGGAGAGAAAGAAAAUCGAUCAAGAGGGUAGAGAGGGAUGAGAGAUGAAUGGAAAUGAAGAGGAGAAGAGGUUUAGGAGUAUUUCUUAUGGAUUUUGCAUGUUAGGGCUUGAAAUUUGAUGAAGAUUAUGAGGGCAAGCCGUGAGAGAGAGAGAGAUAGCUUAAGAAUUUGGGAUGAUGAUCCAAGGUUUUGUGAGGUUUUAAGGUUGGUGGAGAUCUAAGAGAGGAUUCUUAGGUUUGGGAUG